rnacentral:lncRNA from 1 species
AAAUUUAAAAAAUCGAAUCAAAUAUUACUUGUCACAUGCUUCGUAAACAACAGUUGUAGUAGACUAACAGUGAAAGUAUAUGUAUUGGUGCGUAGUUUACGCGUAAUUAUUCAUCUCUACAUUAAAUCCAAUUUAUGAUCCAUUUCAAUGUUCAUUUAACCAUAUAGCCUAACACAUUUAAAAAUAAUGGGGUUGUUUUAAAAAUGUAAAGCAAAAGAUAUGCUAGGUGGGUCGGCGUCUCCUCACGGAGGGAUUACGGCUGCCUAUCAGCAGAACUCCCUGAAUUCCAUUCCGCCUUUUACGCAGGGCAGUGGCUUGUGUAUCGCAAUAGCAUCGGACUUCCAAGUGACUUGCGUUGGCAUUACAGGUCGAAGUUUCGGAGUGCAAGAGAAAGUAGGAGCGAAGUGAUCUAUCUCUUUCACGUGAUUGAUUUUUAUUUAUUUAUUCCGUUUAAAUAGAAAACGCAUUAAGAAAUCAUUUUUAUGUUGAUGAAGUCCCACCGGGUGUGGGACGUAGAAAAUAAUUGUCCUUUAUAGAAAGUGUAAAGAGGUGCACCCAACCAUUACUCAGUGGCCAGACGUGAAGGACCUUGAUUUUCCUUUCCCCAGCAUUUGCAGCCUGUGCUAGGUUGGUGGAAAAUGGGCACGCGGAUCCACUCGGUCUCUGGACUUAUCGUCUCGUUGAUAUUUACAUGUCAUCUGAUAAAUGUGGCUCAGAGCUCCAAGGUGUGGGGAGAGGUCCCGCUGCCUGAGGACCUGGACUCCGAGAGGACUGUCGUCCAAAGGUCUCAGCGGUUCUUAGACGAUGACGAGGACUUCACUGCGGACGAAGCAUCAGGAGAUCUGCCCAGUGGAGAGGAGGAUGGAAGCACACCAGAACCCUCAGUGGUGACUGAGAUCAGCACAAGUAAGAACCCUCAGCCCUUAUCACAACAGUCCCUGCAACUCUAGGGACAGGCACGUGCACAGAUAGGGCUUUACCCUUCCAGUCUCCUGAGUGCCCUUUUUAAUAAAGUUUUUGUCGUUGUGGUUCUGAACCCAUUGCCCGCAAGUCGUCAUUAAAUUCUACUCUAUGCUUCAGAACCAAAAUGUUGCGCAUCUUGAUUGUUG